AUUGUUUUUAUUUUAAAGUGAAAAACUUACUUUGAUAUAGUAAAAAUGUUUAUUUAAUAAACAAAACAAA
rnacentral:tRNA from 1 species